UGGGGAAUAUUGGACAAUGGGCGCAAGCCUGAUCCAGCCAUGCCGCGUGAGUGAUGAAGGCCUUAGGGUUGUAAAGCUCUUUCGCCGGUGAAGAUAAUGACGGUAACCGGAGAAGAAGCCCCGGCUAACUUCGUGCCAGCAGCCGCGGUAAUACGAAGGGGGCUAGCGUUGCUCGGAAUCACUGGGCGUAAAGCGCACGUAGGCGGAUCGUUAAGUCAGGGGUGAAAUCCUGGAGCUCAACUCCAGAACUGCCCUUGAUACUGGCGAUCUCGAGUUCGAGAGAGGUUGGUGGAACUCCGAGUGUAGAGGUGAAAUUCGUAGAUAUUCGGAAGAACACCAGUGGCGAAGGCGGCCAACUGGCUCGAUACUGACGCUGAGGUGCGAAAGCGUGGGGAGCAAAACAGGAUUAGAUACCCUGGUAGUCCACGCCGUAAAACGAUGGAUGCUAGCCGUUGGGGGGUUUACCUCUCAGUGGCGCAGCUAACGCCUUAAGCAUCCCGCCUGGGGAGUACGGUCGCAAGAUUAAAAACUCAAAUGAAUUGACGGGGUCAUAGCUGUUUCCU
rnacentral:rRNA from 1 species